AUUAAGAACGAAGCAGAGGAAUAAUACGUAACAGUUGUAAAAUAAGAAGUAAACGCGUUAUAUUAAGAAAUUCAAAUAGUACAAGAGUUACAUAGAUUGUUUCUUCAAGCCAGGACGUGUUAAUACGAGUAACGUACAGGCUGUUUCGUUCUUGUCCCGCCAAAUGCUGCGUCAGCGUAUUCUAUGAUUAAAACGACCGACGAAUAUUUUACUUGCGGGGAGCUUCGGAACCGGACUUAUCUGGUCAGGAAUUAAUAUCAACACGGAGGAUUUACGUUUCAUUCGGUAAAAUGAAAGAAAAUAAAGAUGAAAUUCGGACGAAUAUCAACGAUGUCAAUUUUCCAUUUACAAAAGCGGAAGACACUUUGAACAAGAACCAAUCGAUCGAACGAGAAUCCCCGGGCAUUUUGUAACUCGAACGAAAAGAACAAAAUACAUUGUCCGCAAUAAAAUAAUCUAGAAUGUUAUUUA